GGAGCAGGAAGUGAGACAGAGAAGGGAAGUCAGCCCACUGCAGGAGGUGUUUUCAGUCUGUUACCGUGGAGGGCAGUGGGGCUCAGCUCUACAGGAAGCCCUGGGAGGCAGGGUAGAGUGCAUGUCUCAAGGUUUACCCCAGCCAGAGAGGAUUGCUGCAUCGUCAGCCACCAACUCCAGUCGUGGCUGAGAGCCCAUCCUGGGGCGUUUGGCGUGUCUAGCCGGUGCUACAGGCAGCACAGCGGACUCCAGUGGCCAGGAAACAGGGCCUCAACUUGUUAUGAUUCAUGGAUGAAACAGGACCCAGAGGGAGACAAAGGAGUUAGCGUUCAGUGGUUGAUGCUCAGGAAGCAGGAAGAGCUCUCAAGGAAGCCCCCUUCAGAACGAGAAUGGCAGAAGGCAAGGAUUUGUGCUUGCCAGAGCUGGGCUUUGUGGAUAUGUGAAAGGGCCUUCUAAGCUCCACUAAGUUUCUCUUAAAGUAUUGGGAAAACUCAGUGGUGUCCCACUGGAAGUCAUGGUGUGGGGACAUGCACUUCAUGUCACACGGUGGCGAAGGCAGGGGCAGGACCCUUUCUGGGCUCCAGGAAAGGAGCUAUGGGUGGGGGGAUGAGAACUGAAGAGUCCAGACUUGCUCCCUUGUUUCCCUCUUGGUCAAAAUACUGGGGGUGGGGGAUGUGUGUACCGGAUGGGACAGGUUUGGAAACUCCAGAGCGGAUGGGAACACCUUGCCGUGAGCUGGGGAGGAGGCCAAGCCCUCCUCGGAGAGUGGCCUGCACCUCCAGGGAGAGGUCAUGACUAAGUAAAAAUGAUGGUGAGGCUUGGUUGUGUUGAAAGGCCCUGAGAUUUCCCUGCCCAGCCCUGCUCCAGCCUCCCAUGGGCCCUGUAGGACUUGGAGGAGAUCCAGGAACAUGCCUGUGGCCCCUAGAGAGUGGCAGGGAGGGGGCUGAGAGGAGCAUGCCAGCUAGGGGAUCACUGUGAGGUCAGGCAAGGGGACUCCCUGACCUCAUCCCUGACAGGAGCUGAGAAGUGGGCAGUGAAGUGUCAGGGGCCAGGUUGAGAGAACGGCUGAACCUCUUUUAAGGGCCUGUAGCCCCGUGACCGUUCAGACUGUAGCCCCAGUCGCCGGGCCUGGCUCAGCCUGGGAGGGACUGAGAUUGGGCUUGGCAACAGCAUCUCACUCAUUGGUCUGGCAUCUCCUGUUUGCAUCCAGAUGACCUCUCCUCACCGCACUAAUUUCCCGCAAGCUACUGGGGUCAGUACCAGUUCCCGGUAAUGACUGAUGUGGACAACAGCCUGAGACCCCGUCAGCUCUUUCUUCAGCACCGAGGCAAGUCAAUGGGCAAACCCUGGCCAUUUUUUGCCAGAGGGCCAGCUGGAGAGUGGGCAGCCUCGGUGCUAUCGUGGGCAGUCCCAAUAUCACUUUCCUUUUCCUUUCUGAUCAAACUAACAAAUCCUU
rnacentral:lncRNA from 1 species